ACAGACGUUGAAAAAAGACUACAGUUUCCUGACUCUAAUUGUCUUAGGUGAAUCAGCGUUUGGAUGCUGAGCAUCGGGUGGUUGUGCCUCCACAUCCCAACUUUGUGGCUGGAAUGGCAGCUUUGUUUUCUAGCUACUACAACUUCAAUCUUGUGUACCAGGAGCAAGUGCACACUGGAGUUCAUUCAAAGAUGCUUCAUUGGACUGAACCCGUCCAGUGGGACCAAGACUGCAAAAGUGGUUAGCCAAAAAAAAUGGAAAGGUACCGGAGAAAAAGAAGAACCGCAUUAACCCUCACGUCUCCUCUCUACUUAAGCGGCUGAUAGAUUUUGAAUGGCUUCAAUUGUAAGUCUCAAGCGACUUCCUCACAAUAUGAAUGGACAUUGUUCUAAAUGUUUUCUGAAUUUCACUAAAUGUUAAGAAAAUGAAUAGAAUAUGCUGUUAAGAAAAAGACAUUCUGAAAAUGUACAGUAUUGUAACACUGUAUUUUGUUUUAAUAAUAAAAUUUCAUGAUUUUGCAUCUUGGACUAUGGUUUUAUUUAACAGUUGAAGAGAAUCUUAUCCAAUGAUGUUUGGAUUUAAAGCAAGCCUGGUCUUAUUUAAAACACUUUACAAU